rnacentral:rRNA from 1 species
UACGGAGGGUGCAAGCGUUAUCCGGAAUCAUUGGGUUUAAAGGGUCCGCAGGCGGAUUUAUAAGUCAGUGGUGAAAUCCUAUCGCUUAACGAUAGAACUGCCAUUGAUACUGUAAGUCUUGAAUUCGGUCGGAGUGGGCGGAAUGUGUAGUGUAGCGGUGAAAUGCAUAGAUAUUACACAGAACACCGAUAGCGAAGGCAGCUCACUAGGCCUGAAUUGACGCUCAGGGACGAAAGCGUGGGGAUCAAACAGGAUUAGAUACCCUGGUAGUCCACGCUGUAAACGAUGAUUACUCGUUUUCGGCGAUAUACGGUCGGAGACUAAGCGAAAGUGAUAAGUAAUCCACCUGGGGAGUACGAUCGCAAGGUUGAAACUCAAAGGAAUUGACGGGGGCCCGCACAAGCGGUGGAGCAUGUGGUUUAAUUCGAUGAUACGCGAGGAACCUUACCAGGGCUUAAAUGCAAGUUGAAUGAUGUGGAAACAUGUCAGUCUUCGGACAAUUUGCAAGGUGCUGCAUGGCUGUCGUCAGCUCGUGCCGUGAGGUGUUGGGUUAAGUCCCGCAACGAGCGCAACCCCCAUCUUUAGUUGCUAGCAGGUAAUGCUGAGGACUCUAAAGAAACUGCCCACGCAAGUAGUGAGGAAGGCGGGGACGACGUCAAGUCAUCACGGCCCUUACGUCCUGGGCCACACACGUGCUACAAUGGUUGGUACAGAGGGCAGCUACCGGGUGACCGGAUGCGAAUCUCUAAAGCCAAUCUCAGUUCGGAUUGGAGUCUGCAACUCGACUCUAUGGAGCUGGAAUCGCUAGUAAUCGCGCAUCAGCCAUGGCGCGGUGAAUACGUUCCCGGGCCU